rnacentral:rRNA from 1 species
GAUGAACGCUGGCGGCGUGCUUAACACAUGCAAGUCGAACGAAGCACUUUAUUUGAUUUCCUUCGGGACUGAUUAUUUUGUGACUGAGUGGCGGACGGGUGAGUAACGCGUGGGUAACCUGCCUUGUACAGGGGGAUAACAGGUGGAAACGGCUGCUAAUACCGCAUAAGCGCACAGCAUCGCAUGAUGCAUGGGGAAAAAGUCCGGUGGUAUAAGAUGGACCCGCGUUGGAUUAGCUAGUUGGUGAGGUAACGGCCCACCAAGGCGACGAUCCAUAGCCGAGCUGAGAGACUGACCGGCCACAUUGGGACUGAGACACGGCCCAAACUCCUACGGGAGGCAGCAGUGGGGAAUAUUGCACAAUGGGCGAAAGCCUGAUGCAGCGACGCCGCGUGAGCGAAGAAGUAUUUCGGUAUGUAAAGCUCUAUCAGCAGGGAAGAUAAUGACGGUACCUGACUAAGAAGCACCGGCUAAAUACGUG